rnacentral:lncRNA from 1 species
UACUGCUGAGCAGGGUGGACGGCUACCUAUGUGGUUGGUAGUCUACGGCUGAGUGACAUGUGGUUUGGUAGUCUACUGGCUGAGCUAUGUGGUUUGGUAGUCUACUGGCUGAGCUAUGUGGUUUGGUAGUCUACUGGCUGAGCUAUGAGGUUUUGUAGUCUACUGGCUGAGCUUUGUGGUUUGGUAACCUACUGGUUAGCUAUAGUUGCUAUGUGGUUUGGUAACCUACUGGUUGGGUUAGCUGUAGUUGCUAUGUGGCUUGGUAACCUACUGGUUGGGUUAGCUGUAGUUGCUAUGUGGCUUGGUAGGCUGUUGGGUUAGCUGUAGUUGCUAUGUGGCUUGGUAGGCUGUUGGGUUAGCUUCAGUUGCUAUGUGGUUUGGUAGGCUGUUGGGUUAGCUGUAGUUGCUAUGUGUCUUGGUAGGCUGUUGGGUUAGCUGUAGUUGCUAUGUGGUUUGGUAGGCUGUUGGGUUAACUGUGGUUGCUAUGUGGUUUGGUAGUCUGUUGGGUUAGCUGUAGUUGCUAUGUGGCUUGAUAGGCUGUUGGGUUAGCUUCAGUUGCUAUGUGGCUUGGUAGCC